rnacentral:rRNA from 1 species
GUAGGUGGCAAGCGUUGUCCGGAAUUAUUGGGCGUAAAGCGCGCGCAGGUGGUUCUUUAAGUCUGAUGUGAAAGCCCCCGGGCUCAACCGGGGAGGGUCAUUGAAAACUGGGGAACUUGAGUGCAGGAGAGGAAAGUGGAAUUCCACGUGUAGCGGUGAAAUGCGUAGAUAUGUGGAGGAACACCAGUGGCGAAGGCGACUUUCUGGCCUGUAACUGACACUGAGGCGCGAAAGCGUGGGGAGCAAACAGGAUUAGAUACCCUGGUAGUCCACGCCGUAAACGAUGAGUGCUAAGUGUUGGGGGGUUUCCGCCCCUCAGUGCUGCAGCUAACGCAUUAAGCACUCCGCCUGGGGAGUACGGUCGCAAAGACUG